AAUUAGUGCGAGAGGCCUGGGCUAGCACCUUGGAAAAAAAUAUCAUUGAUCAUUCGCUACAAUGGAACAGCGUCGCCGAAGUAGACCCUUUUCACACCAAACUAAAAAAACUGGGACACGCGUGCAGAUGCAGGCAUGACCACUGCACAGGACAGGGGGACCCUGCAUACCAGCUAGCAACGUUCAUCUGCUCCUAGCUCUCUGGCCUGGAAAAUACGAGCAGUACGUGCACGGUGCGCGCAUAUCGCCGUGACUUGGAGCCACGCGGACGGUCGGACUUCACACAUAAGAACACGCCGCGGACGAACAUCACCGAGGGAGCGGCCGAAAACCGCCGAGGAGGCUUUUUUUCCAGCCCAUCUCGAAAUGCUAGGCAGCUAGCUCGGCAGCUAGCCGCCGUGGCUACAUUGUUGUAGCAGAACGUAGACGCGCAUCCUCGGCCAGGAAGCCAGAGGGGCUGCAGGCUGGCCGGGAUGAGCAGCGGGACAACGGGGCUAACCUGGCAGAACUCCUGGCAGAAGUGCAGCGAGGCUUCCAGCGGAGACUGCGAGCUCUCCUUCAGAGCCGCGGUCAGACCCUGGAACCGCUCUCGGAGCUGCUCGAUAGCUUUCCGUGUGUCAUAUUCCUUCUCUGUCUCCCCCUCCGCCAUCUUCACAACAAUCACGACCGCGUACGCACAGAUGUUACGCCGCCAGACCCGCACACGCACGCGCACGCAGGGGUGGGGGGUGAGAGCACACAUUCACACACACACACACACACACACACAUACAUUUACCUCCCCCCAUGUCAACAAAGCAUCCAUGACCUGACUCACACAGGGUGGACGUGAUAUACUGUAUGUGUUCACCAGCUAAUCUCAGUGUAAUUUAGAUUUCUGGAUUUCCCUGAACGCCCCAUGUUAUACAGCCCAGGUAAAGAUACUGCUGGGUAAACUGUGACCCCCGGACAGUGAAAGUCAUCAAACAGACCUCAGCAAACCUCAGCUUGCACCAAAGUCUUUUAUAUUUUCUCUAAAGUUUCCAUCCAGCCCCCGAAUGUUCACACUCGAACAAUGUGCUUGCCUCUCUCGUCCCACAGACUGCAGGGUAAUCCUCGCAAUGGCCCUGAUGCAGUGUGACUUGCUCACUGACGCUUCAGCAUGGGCAGAUGUUCAUAAACAGAGGUCAGUCAGCGGAAAAAACUCUCGACCCAAAGGGCAGCAUGUAACCACAGGAUGUUACUCUGUAAGUGACGUACAGUAAAAGCGUUGUGAUCAUGUUUCUGAAAUAUGGACAUCGUGCUGUACAUGACGUGUGCCAUAGGCGUUUAAAUGUUAGUCACAGAAGAUGGAUAAAUUAACAGGUAGGGUUUGCCCUUCACUGCAUCUCGGCACAUCACAAACACAAGGUCGAUGCAUUUACUAAGAAUUACAUUUCAGAAUGAUUUAAAUUUCUGGAGCUGUUCUGAAGUUUUCAAUCACAUAGGAAUAAAAAAUCUUAACUCGUG